rnacentral:rRNA from 1 species
GUGCCAGCCGCCGCGGUAAGACGUAGGGCGCGAGCGUUGUCCGGAUUUAUUGGGCGUAAAGAGCUCGUAGGCGGCUCGUCGCGUCGGUGGUGAAAUUCCGCAGCUUAACUGUGGGCUUGCCGCCGAUACGGGCGGGCUGGAGUUCGGUAGGGGAGACUGGAAUUCCUGGUGUAGCGGUGAAAUGCGCAGAUAUCAGGAGGAACACCGGUGGCGAAGGCGGGUCUCUGGGCCGAUACUGACGCUGAGGAGCGAAAGCGUGGGGAGCGAACAGGAUUAGAAACCCCCGUAGUCC